CGUAGGUGGCUAGCGUUAUCCGGAAUUACUGGGCGUAAAGGGUGCGUAGGCGGUCUUUCAAGCCAGAAGUGAAAGGAUACGGCUCAACCGUAGUAAGCUUUUGGAACUGUAAGACUUGAGUGCAGGAGAGGAGAGUGGAAUUCCUAGUGUAGCGGUGAAAUGCGUAGAUAUUAGGAGGAACACCAGUAGCGAAGGCGGCUCUCUGGACUGUAACUGACGCUGAGGCACGAAAGCGUGGGGAGCAAACAGGAUUAGAUACCCUGGUAU
rnacentral:rRNA from 1 species